GGAAUAUUGGACAAUGGGCGAAAGCCUGAUCCAGCAAUGCCGCGUGAGUGAUGAAGGCCUUAGGGUUGUAAAGCUCUUUUACCAGAGAUGAUAAUGACAGUAUCUGGGGAAUAAGCCCCGGCUAACUCCGUGCCAGCAGCCGCGGUAAUACGGAGGGGGCUAGCGUUGUUCGGAAUUACUGGGCGUAAAGCGCACGUAGGCGGCGAUUUAAGUCAGAGGUGAAAGCCCGGGGCUCAACCCCGGAACUGCC
rnacentral:rRNA from 1 species